rnacentral:rRNA from 1 species
GAUGAACGCUGGCGGCGUGCCUAAUACAUGCAAGUCGAGCGAACAGACGAGGAGCUUGCUCCUCUGACGUUAGCGGCGGACGGGUGAGUAACACGUGGAUAACCUACCUAUAAGACUGGGAUAACUUCGGGAAACCGGAGCUAAUACCGGAUAAUAUAUUGAACCGCAUGGUUCAAUAGUAAAAUACGGUUGUGCGGUCACUUAUAGAUGGAUCCGCGCCGCAUUAGCUAGUUGGUAAGGUAACGGCUUACCAAGGCGACGAUGCGUAGCCGACCUGAGAGGGUGAUCGGCCACAUUGGAACUGAGACACGGUCCAGACUCCUAAGGGAGGCAGCAGUCGGGAAUCUUCCGCAAUGGGCGAAAGCCUGACGGAGCAACGCCGCGUGAGUGAUGAAGGUCUUCGGAUCGUAAAACUCUGUUAUUAGGGAAGAACAAAUGUGUAAGUAACUAUGCACGUCUUGACGGUACCUAAUCAGAAAGCCACGGCUAACUACGUG